rnacentral:rRNA from 1 species
UGAGGAAUAUUGGUCAAUGGGCGAGAGCCUGAACCAGCCAAGUCGCGUGAAGGAAGACUGCCCGCAAGGGUUGUAAACUUCUUUUGUAUGGGAUUAAAGUCACCUACGUGUAGGUUGUUGCAGUUACCAUACGAAUAAGCAUCGGCUAACUCCGUGCCAGCAGCCGCGGUAAUACGGAGGAUGCGAGCGUUAUCCGGAAUUAUUGGGUUUAAAGGGUGCGUAGGUUGCAAGGGAAGUCAGGGGUGAAAAGCUAUAGCUCAACUAUGGUCUUGCCUUUGAAACUCUCUAGCUAGAGUGUACUGGUGGUACGUGGAACGUGUGGUGUAGCGGUGAAAUGCAUAAAUAUCACACAGAACUCCGAUUGCGCAGGCAGCGUACUACAUUACAACUGACACUGAAGCACGAAAGCGUGGGUAUCAAACAGG